CUUUCAGGAUGCAAAACUGAACUUUUUUCCUCCUUGUUUGCAUUUUUCAGUUUGUAGAUAAUUCUGCCUUCUGCCAGCUUGCCCUGAAAAGCUUCAGGUUCAUCUGCUCAGCCUGACUCAAACGUGCACAGCUGGGCACCCCUACACUCCUGCAGUGUUAGGUCAGGCCCCACACUCCUGAGGUUCAAGGAGGUGAAAGUCAUUCAUUCUCAUCUCCGGGUUGGAGAGCAGAGCCAAAUUUUGACUACUGAGCCAUAGCUGUUGCUGGUUUGAAGAUCUUGGCUGGUCCUAGCAGAGCCAUAUGAUUUAAUAGUGGUAGAAGCAACUGUUGCAUGAAAAACUGAACUAGCCUAUGCCACACUGACUGCUGAACAUUUCUGCCAUUCAGGAUAAUACUGGGAAAAGAGUUAACCCAUCACUCGUGUCCUGAAAGAUGGUCCACUUCUCAGUGAGACUUUGUGCCAGAUGGCAUUUGGGGCCAAGCAUCUUGGCAUCUUUCAGCCAAAGGAAUUGCUCUGCACUUCACCUUCAAGCCUGUGCUUGUGCCACAGCUUUGGCAUUGCUUUCUGCUCAAUGCUCCAAUACCUAGAAUGGCAGUGAAACGCAUGGAGCCUAAAAGGGAGAAGCAUCUCAUCGUCUGUGUGAGUGACUUGGGGAUGUAAGGUGAAGGAGGUGGAGGGCUGAGUUCCCACCCAGAAAGGAUUUUCAAGAUUUGAAAAAUCAAAACAGCCCCCAGUGUUCCCCUUAUCUAUCAAUUAAAAUCAAACUAGUUUCUUUUUAUCAAGAUUGAGAGAUGCCACACAAGCUGACUGCAGUAUUAGUGAGGUUAUCUGUGGUAUAGGAAAUCCAGAUUCAAAUGCUUCAUGUGCCAUCACCAGUGCACAUCUGGGCUGUUGGCUGCUGUGUUUGUGUUCCUAGAUCUCAUGUUGUCACUGUUAGUUCUAAGCUUGUAUUGAACCUCAAGCAGGUCAGACCUCGUUGGUCUGUGAUGAGACACAGCGUUUGUGCAUGACAGCACAGCUUUUAUAUUGCACAGGCUCCUAAAGAGCUUGUCCUAGUGAUGGGAUAAAACAACUGCUGCCUCCCUGAAUCACUCCGUGUGCUGAAGGCAGGGGGAUGCGAGUGAGGGCUGUUCCCAGGGUGGGUGCUGGGAGCACAGUGUGAGAGCGUGCAAUGCUGUGCAGAAACACAGCUUAAGGUCAGACUCAGCUCUAAAGCUUCCCCAAAAUCCCAAAUCCUCUUUUUAUAUGAGUUCUACCAAACACAAACAAUUAAAGAAUUUCAUCUUCUCCUACUAUGGUGGAAAAGCCUGAAUGCUUCUCUAAACUUUAUUAAAAAGCCCCAGCACGUUCCCUAGGUGAGAGUCCUGCUUGGCUUUUGAGAGCCCAUAUCUUUGUGUUUGGUGCAAAUGAAUCAGUCACUGAUGCCAGUUGGCAGUGGGGAAGAGAAAUAACACAGCCCAUUGCAAAGAGGAAAAAAAGCAGCUAUAAGCCUCGUGUCUGCCAUUUGACAAGAACCCCAGUCAAUGGCAGCUUUACAGAGACCUCCACGAGGGCUAUUGCACAUCCCUGCUAUCUGCCUCCACUUAUGUUCCUCUCCUAGGGAUUACCCCAGUGCCAGGUUUCGAGCCUAAGCACCAUACGUUCCAGUGCCAGCCUAGAGUGCAGGGAGAAGCAUUUUGUAGCUUUAGUUUUGGAAUGUACCCCACUGGUAGCAAUAGGCUGGUGGGACGGGCAGGAACCUUCCCCUGGGCCAGGUCUCUCUGGCGGGCAGCAGCUCUCUCAUCACCAGCGGUUUGUCAAAGCGUGCGGUAUGCUAACAUCCUGCCAGCUCACCUUUCGUAAGCUGAGUCGAAAGCAUUAUUCCCACCAGUGCAAACACAGCGUCUGCCACAUGUCUGCUGGUUUCUCCCCGCUGCACGGAGGCAAAGCAGCCCUUCCUUGUCAGUCAUUGACCAAAAGCUGUUGAUUCUGGAACGACUGACUGCACUGGUUGUAAGGGAUGCCAAAACCCUCUGAAAGCUGGGAGGCAAAGGUGUUUUCUUUUUAAAUGAAUUAGGCUGUAGAAGGAAUUUCCCUGAGAGCUUGUUUGAUAUCUGGAAUAGAAAUGGCUUUCCGUCUCCAUCUCCAUCUAGUCAGCACUCAGAGCCACAUCCAGAGAGCCUGCAGACACAUCUGCCCUCUCCUCUGUGUCGGAGUUCCUCUGCAUCUUGUUGACAGCUGACAAACAUUCCAGCUAGAAUACCUUUGCUGAGCUCCUGGGUGGAAAAAAAGGAGGAUUUACCUGAGUCCAACCCAUCUGCACGUGGGUCGGAACGUGUGUGUAUCCCAUUAACUCUGUCCUCGCUGCUCUCAAGAUGUCCCACACAAAUGAUUUUAUUUUUUUGGUAAGAAAAUAUAUUUUACUAGGCAGUUUUAUGAGAGCUGACAAAAUGCCUCAUAAAUAACCCAGCAGGAAAUAUGGGGUAAAUAAAAUUUUUACAACUUUAUCAUAAACCUGAGAAGUCUUUGGUUCCUUUUCGAAUGGAAUGAGCGAGGUAUUUCAUUAAAGGAAAAGACAUGCUCUCUAAAGCCCAACAAUUACAAACACAAUGCCUUUUUAACCUGCAAUUCAGUCAAACAGGUUUGGUGGCAGUGGAAAAUGUAAAAGGUGCUGUUUUGACACUUUGGGUCAUGCUCCCCAUGGGUCAGUUUGUGCUGUGGGUUCCUUGCACAGCAGAGCCAGAGAGCUGGUGCGUGCCUGACCUGCCCCGAAUUACCCAGGACCUCUAAGGAACCACAUAUCUGGGGAACGUGCUUAGGGCGGGCUGCAGUUUUGCACAGGCAGAUGCAAUCAGGGCCCUGAGUGCAGGGGGAAUACAAACAAAUAUGGUCCUCAGGUCUUCGGCACAAGCCUGAAGUGCAAUGAGUUGGUCAAAGACCAAGUGUCUGAAAUAGAAACACUUGGAACAAUCCUCAGUCCCCGAACUUUGCGUGAAGGGGGAAUUCAUCUCUCAGCAGGAGCAUCUUUGACACGUGAUAUUUUGGUACUGUGGGAAGAUGGGAGGGGGUGCCACUUUUAUGUCCUUUGCACUUGUGAGAAUUCUUACUGACAGCUAUGACUGCUUUCUUCUUAAUGGUGAAAACAGAAAUCUGGCAAAAUACAUCCUGGGUUGUAUGUAUGCAUGUAUAAGAAGUAUGGAAACUGCCUUCCAAAAGAAGUAAUGAAAUGCCACUGUAUGCCCACUUGAUCUGAUGAGAAAAUGAUCUGGAGUGAAGGAAGGCCUUUACCCUUUCUCACACUUCUGGUCUACCUCACUUGUGUUUCUGUGUCAGCUGAGGAUCAGCAAAACUGGAACUGUUCAGAACCACACAUUACCUUCCGUGAGCCGUGAGCGGAGCUCUCAGGCUCAUCAGAGGAAGACCAGAAUUAACUCCACCGCCGUGGCCUCACCUUGCUGGUACUGCAGGUUGUACCACUAUGACCCCCCACCUCUCCUCCAGGGCUCGAUUGCAUAAAGCCCACCACCCUCCCUCCCAGGCACUCUUGCAUUCCCCUGUGCUCCCAUCCCUCCAGGCUUACCCUCCCACCCUCAGAUCACACGGGUCCUUAGGACAUCUACAGCAACUUCCUACAGGCAUGUCACAUCAGGAAGAUACUUAAAGCCUUUGUAGAUCUAAUGCUUUCUAAAUAGGAGGUAAGCUCACCCCACACUACCGCUCCAGAGUGCUUUUGAUGCCGAUUUCUUUUAUGAGCACUUUGGGAAUGGGGCACUUUGGGGAUAGCUGUUCCCUGCACUAACAGGUCUGCAGUCCCCUGCCUGAUCAUACACCGUGCUGAGUGCUCAGAGCUGACAAUGCAGCCAAGUCAGGGUGUCCCUGGGAGCUUUGCCUGUAUAAGGGCUCCAGGCUCUGGCACGUUGUCUGGAAAGCACUGUAUAAAUAGGAGAGACAAUUGCUGCAACCCUUUCCCAAAAGGAAAUUCCAUAUUGGCACCGAACGGGGCGUUGUAUGGCAGAGCACAGCCCUGACGGAGCAAGCUGCCCUGGCAGCAACUGACAGCACACUGAGGGAAAUUGGCUUUUUGGUGGGACAUGUGGUUUAGUGAAAGCCCAUAUGUUACAGAGUUAUCUGCUGUGAAUCCCCCAGCAUUAUCCCCACGCCUCUGUCACCUCCCCCCUGCUUCUGCCCUCCCCCCGGGCCCCCACCUCGACGCAGAGGUUAAAUAAAAUAUCAUUUCCUCCUGAUCUAGCCUUUGUCUUUGGCAAUCAAAAUGCCCUUCAGGCCCCCAUGGAGUCAACCUUGCAGGUCAGGGUAGGACAUGGGAAACCCCUUCCCAGGCAUUUCACUGCAGAUAAUGUCAUGGCUGAUUCAUGAGAUCACUCCAAGUGCUGCCUUCCGCCACAGCUGCUCCUUUCGGUGCUGAAGCUUCUUGGCUCCUUGCUCCUUUUCCCUCCUGUGACAACACCUCUCCUGCUGACUGGAUUUUACAAACCGAUUCCUGGGCAGCUGGGAGAGAUAGGGGUGCUCAGAAGGAAAAGAGGAAUAAAGGGAGUUAUUUCUGUGGCAGCAUGGCUCUGCGCAGGGCAGGAGCGGGCUAGGAGCACCAAACUCUGCCCCUCCUCCAGCCUCCAGGAGGGACACAGGUGAGGGAACAUGUAUACUUGCCUAUAAAUUCAGCAUUCAGCAUCACCUGUGUGUCACUCCUCAGUUUAGGGUUCAAUGCCAAAUCACAGAAUUGUAGAAACACAGAAUGGCUUGGGAUGGAUAGGACCUCAGUGAUGAUCUAGUUCCCAAUGAUGGCAUAUAACUGUUUUUGUUAUAGCUCUUCUGAUCUCCUGCUUGGUGACUCUUUGGAGAGUCCCACUAACAUAACACCCAAUAGAGAUCAUGUUAGUAAAAGCACAACUGGUGGAAGGGGAAGACCUAUAAAUGUCAGUAUAUUCUCUGUCUUUAAUUAUUGACUGCUGUUAUUUUAACCUCUCUUUCCUCCUGUAGUUUUACAUACUCGGGUUGAAAGUGCAAAGAGGCAACAGGGAGAUGGAGAGUGCUGACUUCACCCUGCAAUGCACAACACAGAAAAAAUGGAAGGGAGUCAGCAGUGGUUUUGUCAUUUGUGGGGACUUGAGUGGAUGGGUGUGGAAUGAGCCUCCAGUGUCAGUGCCCAGCCUACAGAGCCACAUGCUCAGCCCUGUGUAAGACCUGUGUGUUUUGCAUGGCUGACCCAUGGGCUAAAGCACCCUGUAUCUUUGGUGGAUGGAGCUGUGGGGAAAUGGCUCACAAGAGUUUAGGCUGUCCCGUUUUCCCUUGCAGAAAUAGAGUCUUAUUUUAAAACGUAGUUUUUAUUUUCUACUCAUCAGCCUGCUAAAUAUCUAAAGCACUUAAAAGAAGUGAAAAUCAGAGGGAUACAGCCAGAGUGGCGGAAGGGAGAGUCAGGAAUGGAGGACAAAUGGCCCCCGCCCAGCCAUGGACACAGCCCCCAUUCACACCCAGCUAACAUCCCUCCCUUUGGUAAACAGAGACAGGCAGGUUGGCACCUUGUCUCCUGCCAGGAAGGCGCUGGCCCUUUGUUUCCUGCCUGGCAGAUGGGGGCUGGAGGAUGCCUGAGGGGUCUGGUUUGGGGAAAGCCUCCAGCAGCCCGCAGGCAAGACAGCUAUGAGCUCCCCCCUAUGAAAGAGCUGGGCAAAAUAGUUUCUAUCCUCUGAUGUGUUGUUGUGUUUUUUUUUUUUUAACUUUUACAAAAUAUAAAUACUCUGUCGUUUUCCUAGCUGAGCCUCUUGUUUAUAUAGGAACUGAGAGGGAAACCUGGGAUUUGGAGCCAAAUUUUAUUUCUGGAGUGGGAGAAAGCCAAAAUCCUGAUGGCAGGAAUGUGUGCAUAUCUGAAAUGCUUCAAAUCCUUGCGCAAACUUUCUUAAAAGGUUAGAAUUUGGCUCAUGAGUCAGUGAAAUGCAAGUUUUACAGAGUCCUAAUACGUGCCAAUCUCUGCUUCCAGCCCUAAGGGAUUUGCUGGGUGUUACCCUUGGUUGCUGUCUGUGGGGCUGACCAAGGCAGACAAAGAAGAAAUAACCUAGCUAAAGCAACACAAGUCAAAGAAAGGCCCAUAGAUACUUGGACAUGUUUUAGCUAGGUCUUCUUCUGAAGCCACUGCACCACAUACAUGGAUAACCUUAACUCUUUCAGCCUCCUACACUGCAAAAAUCCAGGCUGUUUCUCCUCCAUCAGCCCCUGCUGUUUUAUUGUAUGAGCCUGCCUUAACUGAGGCAGUUACAUCACUGAAAAUAUUCAUCUUGAUUUCUUCAGGGAAGGUGUCAGUUGUUGCACAGAGCUUCAUGGCACAUCUCCAUACCCAGCUCAGAUGUGUCCUCGUGGAUGAGAGUCUCUGGGUUGAACCCUACCUCAGUUAUGGAGGUCCCAGGCUGUCUGGUAGCAGGAAGAUGCCCACAUAGCUCUUGGCAUGAUUUGUCCCCUUGUUUCAUUAUUUUCCUUCCCUAGUCUGACCUAUUAUUAACAGACCCACCUUCUACCUAGUGCUUCUGUUUCCCCUGAUAUAUUUGUAAAAGGCCUCUUAUUCUCCUUAAUCCCUUUGGCUAUAAUUAACUCAUUCUGCAUUUUUGCUGCCCUUAUCUUUUCCCUGCAAGCUUUAACUGACUGAAUAUUCUUGUUUGGUUGCCUCCCUGUUUUCCAUUUCUACUAAAGGUUUUCUUUUUAGUCCUUAGAUCUCUGAGUGGGCUUUUGCACGCUCUCAUUUCUUGCCUUCUUUACUUACUCCUUUUUCCUAUCUUUUAUGUUUUUGUGCCACAUAAGGACUCCAUCUUCCUCACACCAAGGUAGAGUUCAGGAUAACCUCAGGUGACACCUCAAUUUCUUAAUUCCUUUCAAUGCAUUGUUCUAUUUUUCU